rnacentral:rRNA from 1 species
UACGUAGGGACCAAGCGUUGUUCGGAUUUACUGGGCGUAAAGGGCGCGUAGGCGGCGCGGUAAGUCACUUGUGAAAUCUCUGAGCUUAACUCAGAACGGCCAAGUGAUACUGCAGUGCUAGAGUGUGGAAGGGGCAAUCGGAAUUCUUGGUGUAGCGGUGAAAUGCGUAGAUAUCAAGAGGAACACCUGAGGUGAAGGCGGGGUUGCUGGGCUGACACUGACGCUGAUGCGCGAAAGCUAGGGGAGCGAACGGG